UUAAGAUAGUAAGAGCAUACGGUGGAUGCCUUGGCGAUAUCUGCCGAUGAAGGACGCGACAAGCUGCGAAAAGCUGCGGUGAGGUGCAAAUGACCUUUGACCCGCAGAUGUCCGAAUGGAGCAAUCCGGCUGUGGUUAUGCACAGUCACCCAUGCCUGUGAGUAUGGGAGGGAACCAGGCGAACUGAAACAUCUAAGUAGCCUGAGGAGAAGUAAUCAAACGAGAUACCCCCAGUAGCGGCGAGCGAACGGGGCAGAAGCCCAAACCGCAGAAGGAAACUUUUACGGGGUUGAGGGCCGUCAUACGAACGUGGAAUCCAGCUGAAGCUUCUGGGAAGGAGCGCCGCAGGAUGUGAAAGCCAUGUAAGCGAAAGAGGAAGCGGAACAGACGGUACCAGAGUACCGCGGGACACGAGAAACCCCGUGGGAAGCAGGGGGGACCACCCUCCAAGGCAAAACACAGAUAUCGACCGAUAGCGCAUAGUACCAUGAGGGAAAGGUGAAAAGCACCCCGGGAGGGGAAUGAAACAGAACCUGAAACCGUAUGUUUACAAGCAGUCGGAGACCGUAUAUAUAUCAGGUCGACGGCGUGCCUAUUGAAGAAUGAACCGGCGAGUUAUGAGGUCCAGCGAGGUUAAGCAGGAAAUGCGGAGCCGAAGCGAAAGCGAGUCUUAACAGGGCGAGUAGUUGGACUGCAUAGACCCGAAACCACAGUGAUCUACCCAUGUCCAGGUUGAAGCACAGGUAAAAAUGUGUGGAGGACCGAACCUAUAUCCGUUGAAAAGGGUUAGGAUGAGGUGUGGGUAGGGGUGAAAUUCCAAUCGAACGUGGAGAUAGCUGGUUCUCCCCGAAAUAGCUUUAGGGCUAGCCUCAGGGUAAAGAUUGCAGGCGGUAGAGCACUGAUCAGGAGAGGGACCUACCCGGUUACCAAACCCAGUCAAACUACGAAUGGCUGCAAUUAUACCUGGGAGUCAGACUACGACUUAUAAGGGCCGUGGUCAAAAGGGAAACAGCCCAGAUCAUCAGCUAAGGUCCCAAAUGCCGUGCUAAGUGGCGAAGGAUGUGGCGUUUCAUAAACAACCAGGAUGUUGGCUCAGAAGCAGCCACCAUUUAAAGAGUGCGUAAUAGCUCACUGGUCGAGAGACGCUGCGCCGAAAAUGUCCGGGGCUCAAGCACGGAACCGAAGCUAUGGCAUUGCGUAAGCAAUGGGUAGGGGAGCGUUCUUAUGGGGAAGAAGCAUUACCGUAAGGAGAUGUGGACACAUAAGAAGUGAGAAUGCCGGUAUGAGUAUCGAAAAGAAAGGUGAGAAUCCUUUCCACCGAAAGCCCGAGGGUUCCUGAGCAACGAUCGUCGUCUCAGGGUAAGUCGGGACCUAAGCCGAGGCACAGACGCAUAGGCGAUGGACAACAGGUUGAAAUUCCUGUACCGGAUGGAGUCAUUUGAGCAAUGGAGUGACGCAGGAGGGCACAUGAUCGCGCGACUGGAAGAGCGCGUCCAAGUGCGUAUGUUGAAUCGGAGGCAAAUCCCCGAUUCUGAAAGCAGAGACAUGAUGGGGAGUUAUAAGCGAUUAUGACGAACUCAUGGAUCCCACACUGCCAAGAAAAACUUCUAGCGAGACGAAAUCCGCCCGUACCGUAAACCGACACAGGUAGGCGGGGAGAGAAUCCUAAGGUGCGCGGGAAAACCCUCGUUAAGGAACUCGGCAAAUUGCAUCCGUAACUUCGGGAGAAGGAUGGCCCUGAGUAGGCGAAGUGCAGAAACGCACGGAACAGAAAAGGGUGGCAGAAAAGAGGCCCAAGCAACUGUUUACCAAAAACACAGGUGCCUGCGAAAGCGAAAGCUGAAGUAUAGGUGCUGACGCCUGCCCGGUGCUGGAAGGUUAAGGAGAGAGGUUAGCGCAAGCGAAGCUUUGAACUGAAGCCCCAGUGAACGGCGGCCGUAACUAUAACGGUCCUAAGGUAGCGAAAUUCCUUGUCAGGUAAG
rnacentral:rRNA from 1 species